GAUGAACGCCGGCGGCGUGCUUAACACAUGCAAGUCGAACGAGAAGCCCGGUACUUGUAUUGGGUGGGAAGUGGCGAACGGGUGCGUAACACGUUGGUGACCUGCCUUAAGGAGGGGGAUAACUAUGGGAAACCAUAGCUAAUACCCCGGAUGUUGAGAGAUUUAGAUGUUUUUCAACUAAAGCUUUUCGGAGCGCCUUGAGAGGGGCCUGCGGGCUAUCAGCUAGUUGGUGGGGUAAAGGCCUACCAAGGCAAAGACGGCUAGGGGGCGUGAGAGCGCGACCCCCCACAAUGGAACUGAGACACGGUCCAUACUCCUACGGGAGGCAGCAGUGAGGAAUAUUGCGCAAUGGGGGCAACCCUGACGCAGCAACGCCGCGUGGAUGAUGAAGGCCUUCGGGUUGUAAAAUCCUUUUCUGGGGGACGAAAAAGAUGACGGUACCUCAGGAAUAAGUCCCGGCUAACUACGUGCCAGCAGCCGCGGUAAAACGUAGGGGGCGAGCGUUAUCCGGAUUUACUGGGCGUAAAGCGCGCGUAGGCGGUGUCGUAAGUUGGAUGUGAAAGCUCCUGGCUCAACUGGGAGAGGUCGUUCAAAACUGCGGUGCUUGAGGAUAGAAGAGGAGAGUAGAAUUCCCGGUGUAGUGGUGGAAUGCGUAGAUAUCGGGAGGAAUACCAGUGGCGAAGGCGGCUCUCUGGUCUAUACCUGACGCUGAGGUGCGAAAGCGUGGGGAGCGAACGGGAUUAGAUACCCCGGUAGUCCACGCUGUAAACGAUGGAUACUAGGUGUAGGAGGUUAUUUACCCCUUCUGUGCCGAAGCAAACGCGUUAAGUAUCCCGCCUGGGGAGUACGAUCGCAAGGUUA
rnacentral:rRNA from 1 species